CGAAGCUUAGUACUUGUUGAUCGCCAUUGGAUGUUGCGGGCAAAAUCGGGAGGCGACAUCGCUCGUGGCGGCUGAUGGCUUUUGACAACAGAACGGCAAAGCGUCGUGCAAGGAGCGCCGCAAGGUGCCGUGCGCAUGGGGCGAAGCUUAGUAAUGUUGUUGAUUGCCAUCGGUUGUUGUGGGCUGUGUCUGGAAUCUCUUGUGGCAGAGCCUCGUGCAAGUAGCGCUGCAAGGUGCCGUGCGCAUGGGGCGAAGCUCAGUAGAUGUCGAUCCCAUCAGUUGUUGCGGGCAACAUCGCUCAUGGCGGUUGAUGGCUUUCGGC
rnacentral:lncRNA from 1 species